rnacentral:rRNA from 1 species
AUUGAACGCUGGCGGCAUGCUUUACACAUGCAAGUCGAACGGCAGCGCGGGCUUCGGCCUGGCGGCGAGUGGCGAACGGGUGAGUAAUGCAUCGGAACGUGCCCAGUAGUGGGGAAUAGCCCGGCGAAAGCCGGAUUAAUACCGCAUACGACCUGAGGGUGAAAGCGGGGGACCGAAAGGCCUCGCGCUAUUGGAGCGGCCGAUGUCGGAUUAGCUAGUUGGUGGGGUAAAGGCUUACCAAGGCGACGAUCCGUAGCUGGUCUGAGAGGACGACCAGCCACACUGGGACUGAGACACGGCCCAGACUCCUACGGGAGGCAGCAGUGGGGAAUUUUGGACAAUGGGGGCAACCCUGAUCCAGCCAUGCCGCGUGCGGGAAGAAGGCCUUCGGGUUGUAAACCGCUUUUGUUCGGGAAGAAAUCCUCUGGGCUAAUACCCCGGGGGGAUGACGGUACCGGAAGAAUAAGCACCGGCUAACUACGUG